rnacentral:tRNA from 1 species
AAGGAAAAAUGAAAAUUAGGAAGCUGCUAACUAUCUUUAAUAGGCGGUUAAAUUCCGUUAUUUCCUUA